UCUUCUCUCUUUAUUCGAACGGUCAUACUACUCUCACUGAAAAAACCAUCUCCUUUGUGUAUAUCAGUCAAAAACUCAGCUUUUGAGAAAAAAAAAUGAACACCUUGUGGUGUUCUUUUCAUGCUAACCCAUAUUUCAUGCGAUACCACUCACUAAAAACCGCAACCCCACAAAACUGAAAGGGAGACGACCGCACACCCUCCCCGUUUCUACACCUCAAAUUAAAUUUAGCAUAUCAACAACUUUUGUCUAAUAGAUCUAACUAUCAAAAAUAUAACCUAGCUCCUAAUUCUCCUUUUAUAUCAACAAUCAUCAACAAAAACCUUCGAAGUUUAAAGUCAGAUGGUGGUAAGUGCAUAAAAGGAUACAAUACAUAAGCAUUUUAAAGCAAAUGAGAAAUGAUUCCACCAGAGUGCCGUGACUCCGGCGAAGUUAGAGCGACCAUGGAUACCUCAGGUAAUCGCUCGAUAAUUGCCUCUUUUCUUUGUCAGCUGCUUCGAUUCUCUUCCUCCUACUCCACGCUCCUCUGUAUGAUUAUUGCUGACUCAUUGAUGUUAAGGUAGUGGUUUUUUAGCUCAAACUCGUCGAGAUUCAACGUGAGAUCUCAGCAAGCUUAGAAAUUUUAGAGCUUUAAGUGUCUUUGGGUUGUUUUCUGCAGCAUAACAGUGCUUUUUUUCAGGGUCCUUUUUCAGUGGAUUUCACUCC
rnacentral:lncRNA from 1 species